UACGUAGGUGGCAAGCGUUGUCCGGAAUUAUUGGGCGUAAAGCGCGCGCAGGUGGUUUCUUAAGUCUGAUGUGAAAGCCCCCGGCUCAACCGGGGAGGGUCACUGGAAACUGGGAGACUUGAGUGCAGAAGAGGAAAGUGGAAUUCCAAGUGUAGCGGUGAAAUGCGUAGAGAUUUGGAGGAACACCAGUGGCGAAGGCGACUUUCUGGUCUGUAACUGACACUGAGGCGCGAAAGCGUGGGGAGCGAACAGG
rnacentral:rRNA from 1 species